rnacentral:rRNA from 1 species
UGGGGAAUUGUUCGCAAUGGGCGCAAGCCUGACGACGCAACGCCGCGUGGAGGAUGAAGAUUUUCGGAUCGUAAGCUCCUUUCGAUCGGGACGAAUCGGUCGCGACCUAACACGUCGUGGCACUGACGGUACCGAGAGAAGAAGCCCCGGCUAACUCCGUGCCAGCAGCCGCGGUAAUACGGGGGGGGCAAGCGUUGUUCGGAAUUACUGGGCGUAAAGGGCGCGUAGGCGGCCUACUAAGUCGGACGUGAAAUCCCUCGGCUCAACCGGGGAACUGCGUCCGAUACUGGUGGGCUUGAAUCCGGGAGAGGGAUGUGGAAUUCCAGGUGUAGCGGUGAAAUGCGUAGAUAUCUGGAGGAACACCGGUGGCGAAGGCGGCAUCCUGGACCGGUAUUGACGCUGAGGCGCGAAAGCCAGGGGAGCAAACGGGAUUAGAUACCCCGGUAGUCCUGGCCCUAAACGAUGAGUGCUUGGUGUGGCGGGUAUCGAUCCCUGCCGUGCCGAAGCUAACGCAUUAA